ACCUACGGGGGGCAGCAGUGAGGAAUAUUGGUCAAUGGUCGGGAGACUGAACCAGCCAAGCCGCGUGAGGGAUGAAGGUACAGAGUAUCGUAAACCUCUUUUGUCAGGGAACAAAGGCGGGGACGUGUCCCCGGAUGAGUGUACCUGAAGAAAAAGCAUCGGCUAACUCCGUGCCAGCAGCCGCGGUAAUACGGAGGGUGCGAGCGUUAUCCGGAUUUAUUGGGUUUAAAGGGUGCGCAGGCGGUCUGUUAAGUCAGCGGUCAAAGCCCGGGGCUCAACCCCGGCCCGCCGUUGAAACUGGCAGG
rnacentral:rRNA from 1 species